UACAGAGGGGGCAAGCGUUAUUCGGAAUUAUUGGGCGUAAAGGGCGCGUAGGCGGCCUGGCAAGUGGAAGGUGAAAUCCCUCGGCUUAACCGAGGAACUGCCCUCCAAACUGCUUGGCUUGAGACCGGGAGAGGUGAGUGGAAUUCCCAGUGUAGCGGUGAAAUGCGUAGAUAUUGGGAGGAACACCGGUGGCGAAGGCGGGACUCUGGGCCGAUACUGACGCUGAGGAGCGAAAGCGUGGGGAGCAAACAGG
rnacentral:rRNA from 1 species